ensembl:snRNA Rnu2-12 RNA, U2 small nuclear 12
AUUGCUUCUCAGCCUUUUGGCUAAGAUCAAGUGCAGAUCUAAUAAAUUAAAUAUAUUUCUUGUUCCUUUUCCAGAACCAUU